rnacentral:ribozyme from 13 species
UUUUGAUGUUUCUUGUUCUUCGCUUUCUUUUGCUUUGUCUUUUGUUGCAUCUUGAGCACUCGUAGAUGAAGCAGAAGUAUCGGUGUUUUUAGACUCAUCGGAAGGAAGAUCCUUCUUUGUGCCCUUUCCAGCAAAAGAAAACAAUUUCACAGCACGAGCUGCUAAGAGUAAACUUUUCACUUUUGCUUUAAA